UCUUAAGGGUCUUUUCCUACUUAAAUGAUUCUAUGAUUCUAAAUUAUUCUGUCAUUCUAAAACAAGGCGGGCAAUCGGCGAAGGACAGCAAAUUCCGCAGGCGGAGCCCGUCGCUGGAAGAGCCGUGCGCUGGUGAAGACGUGGUCUCUGGCAGGGAGUAAGCGGAUUAUGCAGCGGAGAGCUCCAGGUCCGUGCUGGGUGCUGACUCCUCUCUCCUCUCCCGGAGCAGCGAGGCGGCGGGGGCACCGGGCAGACACCCCCUCGCCCCUGGCGCCGCCAUCCCAGCGGGACCGAGGAGUCCCUUUCAUCGUUGGCGCCUUCAGCGAAGCGCAGCGCGUGUGGGAGUGGAGCCAUGGGAGAGAUGAACGCCUCUGCAGAUGAAACUGCUCUUCAGAAGCUCCCACCAGCAGCGAGAGAGCUGCUGCUCACACCGGCCUCCACGCAGUUACCGGCACUCAGACGAAGCAGCACUGCAGACCUGCCUGGUCACGGUCGCUGCAGUCAUCGAGUGGCCCUGGACCUCCAGCGGCCACAGAGCCAGUCCGUCCACAGCCACUGCUGACCACAGCCGCAACUGGGGUCACUGCUCCAGGGACAGAAAAGGAGCAGAGAGCAGCUGGCGCAGACAGAAGGGAGGACAAGGGUGGGGACAUGCACUGGCACCAGGGAGAAGUAGGACCCAUGUUAUUCUGAGCUGAAUAAAUCACUAAAGGCAAAGCUUUGAGAGCAGCAGAGCACCCGCUGAGGAAGACAAAAAAAACCCACACAGCAGAAUCAAAAUUUUUUAUUAGCUGGUAGCAAAUUAUUUAAAUAAGCUGUAGUUAGCAGAGGGUGGUGACCACAGAUUUGUCUCCGGGACAUAAAAGCCCUGGACGCCAGAGCUCGCAGAGGCAUUUCUGACAAACCGUCUUGGGGAGAUGCAGAUUCACCGAACCAGAGCACGGCCGUUUUGACAAGCUCCCGGCGAGAGCAGCGCGCUCCUGAAGAGCCCAUCUCGCCUCCCCGCCAGCACGGGGCUGGCAGAGCCGUCCCGCAGCUCCCACCUCCCGGGCUGGCUCUCCCGAGGGCGGAGAAGGAAAGCCAGCUCCAGCCAGAGGCCUCCUCCUUCCCGGGCUCUGCUCCCCGGCUGCCAGCCCCCCCCGAGAGCUGGGGGUGCUGGGCACCGCACCCCAGGUUGGGUGUUGCGGCAGCCGAACAAUAUUAACUUUCCUCGUGGGAAGGAGAAUCGGCCUGUCGGUCAGCCGUGCUGGCGAUGGCACCUCUGGGUGGGUUUUGCUGACCAGGCUCUGGGUGACUGGCAUGCUGGUGACGCUGUCGGGGCUUUACUAACCCGACAAGGUGUUACAGGACACGGAACUGAGAUUUUCUUCCUCCUUGGCUAUGGGACACCAGCGGCAGAAAACCAAGUGGGGAUCUUUUCCUCUUGUGCAAUAACCUUAAAAUGCCGCCUGUGGUUCCUGUCCUGCAGCCAGCGGGGAGCGCGGGCCCCUGCCCAAGCCAUUUCUAGAACCGGGGCCUGGGUCCAGACAUGCAACACAAAGCUUAAACGUGGUCUGAAGAGAGAAAGAGGUAAGAAUAACAAGUACUGAUUAAAAAAUCUCAUCAUCUUGGUAGCUCCAUUUAAUACUUUCAAAAGUUAAGCCCUCUACUUAGAGAUUCAAUGGCAGAGUUUUUAGGAUGAAGUUUUUAGACGGACGGAGAGCUGGCAAGAGUUCAUAGAGCAGGCUGCGUGUAGGGGUCACCCAGGAAGAGGCGACGAGCGUCGAGCGGGAGCUGUUGGAAAGGGGAGGUACGGAGAGGGAGAGCGAUGCAGAGUGAGUCAGGCCCCGGCACACGAGGUUUGGAAGAGUCUCUGGGACCUGCAAGGUGGGAAGAAAUCGCUUAAACUUGAUGCGCGCAUCAGGGAGAGUAAAAGGAAGGAUUUUAGCAACGAUGAUUCAGCCAAAGGCACAGGUACAGGAUGCAGCUUUGCAGACCCGCUGGAGGUAAGGCCAAGCAAGUCACCAAGACUGGAGAAGAGGCUGCUGCAGAAAUGGAAGAGAAGGUCCCAGGGAUGUAAGGGUGCUGGAUGCAGGGAUGCAAAAGAGGCAGCAGAUUUAAAAAAUACAUACACUGUGUAGGAAGCAGAAACAGGAUUUCUGACUUCCAGGAUGUAGAAAAUAGGCCAUGUCUGAACAAAAUCAUUUGAGUGGUUAUGACUGUUCAAAUUUAAUGCAUUUUAUCCAGUGGUUAAUCACCCUCACCAAUAAAAUUUU